rnacentral:rRNA from 1 species
GUCCACGCCCUAAACGAUGAUUACUCGAAGUGUGCGAUACACAGCACGCCUCUGAGCGAAAGCAUUAAGUAAUCCACCUGGGAAGUACGUCCGCAAGGAUGAAACUCAAAGGAAUUGACGGGGGCCCCGCACAAGCGGAGGAGCAUGUGGUUUAAUUCGAUGAUACGCGAGGAACCUUACCUGGGCUUGAAAGUUAGUGAAUGCCGUAGAAACAUGGCAGCAAGCAAUUGCACGAAACUAGGUGCUGCAUGGCUGUCGU